rnacentral:rRNA from 1 species
GAAGCGGUAACAGCUCAAAUUUGAAAUCUGGCUCUUUCAGGGUCCGAGUUGUAAUUUGUAGAAGAUGCUUUGGGUGUGGCCCGGGUCUAAGUUCCUUGGAACAGGACGUCAUAGAGGGUGAGAAUCCCGUAUGUGACUCGGCGCCUUCGCUCGUGUAAAGCUCUUUCGACGAGUCGAGUUGUUUGGGAAUGCAGCUCAAAAUGGGUGGUAAAUUUCAUCUAAAGCUAAAUAUUGGCCAGAGACCGAUAGCGCACAAGUAGAGUGAUCGAAAGAUGAAAAGCACUUUGGAAAGAGAGUUAAACAGUACGUGAAAUUGUUGAAAGGGAAGCGCUUGCAACCAGACUUCACGGCGGCUGAUCAUCCGGGGUUCUCCCCGGUGCACUCGGUCGCCUUGAGGCCAGCAUCGGUUUGGGUGGUGGGAUAAAGGCCUUGGUAAUGUAGCUUCUCUCGGGGAGUGUUAUAGACCUCGGUGCAAUGCCGCCUACCCGGACCGAGGACCGCGCUCGGCUAGGAU